AUACGGAGGGUGCAAGCGUUAAUCGGAAUUACUGGGCGUAAAGCGUUCGUAGGCGGUCUGUUAAGUUAGAUGUGAAAGCCCCGGGCUCAACCUGGGAACUGCAUUUAAAACUGGCAAACUCGAGUUUAGGAGAGGGAAGUGGAAUUUCAGGUGUAGCAGUGAAAUGCGUAGAGAUCUGAAGGAACACCAGUGGCGAAGGCGACUUCCUGGACUAAAACUGACGCUGAGGAACGAAAGCGUGGGUAGCAAACGGGAUUAGAAACCCCGGUAGUCC
rnacentral:rRNA from 1 species